rnacentral:rRNA from 1 species
AAUAUUCAACAAUGGGGGCAACGCUGAUCCAGCCAUGCCGCGUGUGUGAAGAAGGUCUUCGGAUUGUAAAGCACUUUAAGUUGGGAGGAAGGGCUUGAGGUUAAUACCCUGAAGUUUUGACGUUACCAACAGAAUAAGCACCGGACAACUCUGUGCCAGCAGCCGCGGUAAUACAGAGGGUGCAAGCGUUAAUCGGAAUUACUGGGCGUAAAGCGUGUGUAGGCGGUUCGGAAAGAAAGAUGUGAAAUCCCAGGGCUCAACCUGGGAACUGCUUUCAUAACUGCUGAGCUAGAGUACGGUAGAGGGUAGUGGAAUUUCCUGUGUAGCGGUGAAAUGCGUAGAUAUAGGAAGGAACACCAGUGGCGAAGGCGACUACCUGGACUGAUACUGACACUGAGGUGCGAAAGCGUGGGGAGCAAAC